rnacentral:rRNA from 1 species
CNCGNNAAACCUUACCUACCCUUGACAUGUACGGAACUUGCCAGAGAUGGCUUGGUGCUCGAAAGAGAGCCGUAACACAGGUGCUGCAUGGCUGUCGUCAGCUCGUGUCGUGAGAUGUUGGGUUAAGUCCCGCAACGAGCGCAACCCUUGUCAUUAGUUGCUACAUUUAGUUGGGCACUCUAAUGAGACUGCCGGUGACAAACCGGAGGAAGGUGGGGAUGACGUCAAGUCCUCAUGGCCCUUAUGGGUAGGGCUACACACGUCAUACAAUGGCUGGUACAAAGGGUUGCCAACCCGCGAGGGGGAGCUAAUCCCAUAAAGCCAGUCGUAGUCCGGAUCGUAGUCUGCAACUCGACUGCGUGAAGUCGGAAUCGCUAGUAAUCGUGGAUCAGAAUGUCACGGUGAAUACGUUCCCGGGUCUUGUACACACCGCCCGUCACACCAUGGGAGCGGGUCUCGCCAGAAGUAGUUAGCCUAACCGCAAGGGGGG